UCGGAAGCACUUUCAGAAGCCGAAAGUCACCCACUUUCGGGGGCACCUUCGGCCGCCGAACCUUCAGUCCAGAGACGAAAGUCCACUUCCGGGAGCAACUUUAGGCAGCCGAAAAUGCUCCCCAAUGCACACUUUCCUUAUUCAAGAAGCCAUAUCUCAAGUUGCCAUAUUUGAGGAGCCAAACAAGGGAAGUAUUCUGAGAUCC
rnacentral:lncRNA from 1 species